GCGGGUGUCUCCCGGGCGGCUUUAUUUCCAAGGGUUCGUAAGAGGGAAAACGAGGCGAGGGAUGAGGGGAACAACCACACGGAAGGGAAGCCAGCUCCAAGAGCCCCAAACCAGGGGCGGGGCAGAGAUUAUAACUAUAACUGGGUAGGAGGGUCAGGGUACAAAACAUCCAACCAGGUGAGGGCUUGAGGGUAGAGUCAGGGAAGAGCGACAGGGCAACAGCCAACUGGGAUGGAGGGAAGGGAUGGCUUCGAGGGGAGAACCAACGGGGGUACAGAGAACUAAGAACUUUCCAGAACUCGGGGAAGGAGUACACAAUGAUGGACAGGAGCAAAGGGAAGGGAUAACAAAAGACUGACAACUGGGGGAGGCGGGAAACUAAAUGUCAGUUGCCUCCCAAGGCAGAGCAGGGGGGCCAUCAGCCACACCCCCUCCCACAUCUCCCCCGUCUUUGUUAAUUAAAAAGACAUCCCCCAAAGUCUUAACUAAAUAUUUCUUAAAGAUCGCUAAAGUGAUAAAAAUGAGGAGGAUGAUUACAAAAAUCCAUAGAAGUCCUUUGAUGAUGGAGGCUGCCCAUCCGGGGACACCCCACUGCGAAAAGGCUUUAUCUACUGGGUAAGCAGCUGAAGUUUCAGUCUUUAGAUCUUUUACUUGCGCCUCGAUCCGCUUGAUGUUGGCUUGAAUUGACGUGCUUCUAGAUGAUAAAUUAAAACAGCACAGUCCAUCAAAGUCCUCGCAGCUGUGGCCAUGGGCUAGGAGUAAGAAGUCUAUGGCCGCUCGAUUUUGUAGAGUGGCAUGCCUGCUGGUUUGCUCGUCUGCCAGAAGAUCGGAGAGAGCGGCAGACGUGCGUUGGCAUUCUUACUAAUCCAGCACUACAAGUGAGAAAGCUCACCGAGGACCUUAGCUGCCGCAUACCAAGGGAGAAAAAUGGAUGCAGCGAUCCUCUUUGUUUUUCCCCAAUUAUAAAUUUCGGAAUCGCAAUUUUCAUCAAAUUGGUUGUAUGAUCUUUUUGUGCGUGCCAAUUGUUUCUCUUUUUUCCAAUCUAUAAUUUGGGUCUUGUUCAGAGUGAGAGUAGCAAGCUUGCCAAGGCUACAUGGUCCCCCCUGGAGCCGGAAUGGAAUUCCUGACCAUACUCUGUCCCCACAGAUAAGAAACAUCCCCCUGGGGAGCACCUUAGGACGCGUGGAGGAGACCAAAAUGACCUGGCUGGUGUAAUUGCACCAGGUCUGACUAUUAUAUUUUUUGUUGAGAGGUGUAACAUCCUUUCUGUAAGUAUUCUUGGCCAAAUCGAUUCCAUGCCAAUUUUGACUUGGCCUUCUGUAAUAGAAUUUUACACAAUAUGUAGCUGUGGAGGACCCCAGCAGAUCCAAUUCUUGGGGUUCCUCUUUGCUGUUUGUUAAAAUUUUUGUCUACUCAUCCCAAGUGUCGACCGGGUUAGGUCUCUUACCUGUGGUUCGGAGCAGGUCGGAGUUGAACACGGGCCAAUCAUCGGCAACCAGGGGAACCCCCACCAAGCAUGUGGACAAUGGAUUGUCCACAUUGCCCAUGGCCAGACAUAGGUUUUCUUGCUGCAAAGAUUUCGCAAGCGUGACCCAGACGUUUUCUUUUGGCUGCUGGACGAUCCAGCCGUCUGCCGCUUGCAGCCACAAGAUGACUACCACAGCGACGGCCAGCUGGGCGCAGUGGGUCAUCUUCAGAUGUUCCUUCCGGGUUGGUGUAAUGUGGGCAGCCAUCCUCAUUCUAUUAAAAUAAAGGGGAGCAUAAAUAACUUAAAGGGUUUGGUUCCCUCCCCUCCCAGCUCACCCCUUGAUUUAAAAUAAAACAUCUUAGGGCAGAGGGGCAAAGGGAAAGCAGGUAAGGUAGGGGGGCAGGGGAAAUGAGACAGGAGGGGAUGGGGUAUUAGGGAGUGUCCAGUCCGGUGGGGGAAGGUACAAUCUGGAGAUGAGGACUCGGGACACCAAGUUGGGGCGGCUCCAGGUCCUCUUCUUUUUCCUCCUUCUCCAUGCGACUGCGUCAUCUGGUGUUGAGGGUGACGCAGUCCCGCGAUCAUUCUGUGUUGGUGGGUCAGCAACGGCGGCGUCUUCUAGGAAGGGCUUGACAUAUUUGCCCGGAAUCCAUUUUGGUCCUUGUGCUGUAGAGACACAUGCAUACCCUCUCCCCCAAGUUAUUAGGGGGAAUGGCCCUGAGAUGACGCGGGAUUCCGGGUCCCGGACAAGCACUGGUGGGCGCUCCUGCAAAAGUGCUCUUGUGCUAUUGUGAAAGUGUCUAAGAACUGGCGGGUCUGGCUCCCGGUUUGUGCAAUUUAAGAAGUUCAGCACAUAAAGUGCUUUGCAUAGUCUCUCGACCGGGGUCAUUGCCAGCGCCGUGUCAUGCUGCUGAUCGAGCAGUCUUUUGAGCUCCUUGUGGGAGCGCUCCACUAUAGCCUGACCGGUAGGAUUGUGUGGGAUUCCUGUGAUGUGUUUGAUGCCCCAUUGCUGGAGGAAUUCUUCAAAUUGUUUGGAGACGAGUCCUGGACCGUUAUCGGUCUUUAUUGUCUUCGGGACCCCUAACGUAGCAAAUGCCAUGUAAAGGUGUUUCUUGGCAUCUUUCGUCUUCUCUCCUGUAUGGAGAGAGGCGAAGAUUGCUCCUGAGAAAGUGUCUAUCGACACAUGUAUAUACUUCAGGCGGCCAAAGGGGUUGUAAUGUGUGACAUCCGUUUGCCAGAGCUCCAAUGCUCCCAGUCCCCAGGGAUUGACCCCUGAUGUCACUGGUGGAAGGGCAAGGGACGGACAGCUGGGGCAAGUGGCGAGGAUUGCUUUGGCCUGUUCCUUUGAAAUUUUGAACUGCCUCGCUAGGGCAGGAGCGUUCUGAUGAAAAAAUGCAUGGCUGAGCCUUGCCUGUGCAAAAAUAUCUGGGAUGGUGUUUGAAAGUGUGUGUGUGGAAGAGGCUGUAGUGGCAAUGGCCAUGGCUAAAUGGUCCGCCCUCCGGUUGCCCUCAGCGAUGGCUCCGGGCAGGUCUGUGUGGGCCCAGACGUGCAUUAUGUGAUAGGGUUGCUCCCGGUGGGAGAUCAGCCAAAUUAAUUCCUUGAGCAACCCGAAUAAUUUUUUGUUUUGAAUUUCUUUGAGCAUGGCGUGUUCUGCCCACUCGGCUAUCCCAGCCACGUAUGCCGAAUCAGUCACCAGAUUGAAAGGUUGUUUAAAUUUUUUGAAUGCUCUCACGACUGCAGCAAGUUCUGCGAUCUGGGGGGAGCCCUCAACGAUUUGGAUGUCAGACUCCCACUUCUGACUCUCAGGGUCCUUCCACGUGAUCACUGAUUUGUGGGACUUUCCCGACCCAUCAGUGAACACCGUGAGAGCCUCUUUGAUAGGUGUUUUACUCUUGAAUGAUUUUGGGGCCAAAUAUAAGGUAUCUUUAAACAACUUGUGCUUAGGGUAAUGUAUCGAAAUUUGACCAGGAUAGCUAUCUAAAGAAAUUUGCAGGUUUUCAUUUGUUUGUAAAAGAGAUUCCAAUUGUUCCAGAUUCAAAGGCACAUAGAUGCACGCCAGAUCACACCCUGUGAGGGUCCGGAGGCGUUGUCUGGCCUUGAUUAUUAGUUUUGCCAUCAAUUCGGCGGGUGUUGAGAUGGUCUUGGUGCAGAAGGAACAACCACUCGAUGAUGAGGAGUGGGUCUUUCCGCCCAGCAUCCCACUGAAAAAGCAAACCAUGGAAGUUUGGGCACUUACCAAGGAUGGCAAGGGUGAUGGGAAGGACCCGGUCCACACGGUGCGCCUGGCGGGAUCUGAUGGCCUGUGCGACUCUCUCCAGGGCUCCCUUCGCAGCAGGUGUCAGCUCACGUGGAGAAGCCAGGUCGCCGUCUCCUCGCAGGAGGUUGAAGAGGGGUGCCAGCUCCUCCGUGGUGAGUCCCAGGAGAGGUCGGAUCCAGGUGAUGGUACCGCAGAUCUGUUGCAGAUCCCGCAGGGUCUGUGGGUUGUCCUUGGAAAUGGACUGGGGCGCGACGCUCCUUCCCGUGAUGGUGAUGCCCAAAUACUUCCACGGCGCAGAAAGCUGGAUUUUUUCCUCUGCUAUUUGAAAACCCGCAUCCUUGAUGGCUUUAAUUGUCCUUGAAAGUGCUGCGUGGAAGUAGGUGGUUGUUUCCGCACAGAUAAGGACGUCGUCCAUAUAAUGCAAAAUCAUUGCUUCUGGGAAAAGUCGGCGGAUUGGCGACAGAACCUGAGCCACGAAUGUUUGACAGAGCACUGGAGAGUUUUUCAUUCCUUGGGGCAGAGUGGUCCAUUGGUAUCUUUUGUAGGGCUCUGCCCUAUUGAUGGACGGGACAGAGAAGGCGAAUCUGGGGGCAUCUCCGGGAUACAGUGGGAUGUUGAAAAAGCAGUCCUUGAUAUCAAUGACUGCGAGCUGCCAAUCCCGGGGAAGCAUGGAGGGUGAGGGAAGCCCAGGCUGAAGGGGGCCCAUGUCUUCAAUGACAUCAUUGACCCUGUGGAGGUCCUGGAGCAGGCGCCACUUGUCUUUGCCUGGUUUUUUGAUGACAAAGACAGGAGUGUUUCAGGGGCUGGUGGAGGGUAUUAAAUGCCCCAGGCGCACCUGCUCCUCUACAAGUUCAUUGAGUGCAUUUAAUUUCUCCUCCAUGAGGGGCCACUGAUCCACCCACACCGGAACAUCGGUUUUCCAAUUCAACGGUGGGGAGGUGCGCUCCGCAGUGGCCCACGCUAAAAAUCCCAUGCAGGGCUAGGGAUGUCAAGGCGGGCACCCCAUUGGGACAACACGUCCCUGCCUAAUAGCAUAAUAUUGGAAGAAACAACAAAAGGCCGAAUGGUGGCUAUUUGUCCCUCAGGGCCCUCCACACUUAGCAAGCGUCGGCUUCGCAUAGAAUUGACAGCUCCACCCACUCCAGAGAUUGUGCCACAAGGAGGCACCAACUCCCAGUUGCGGGGCCACUUUGACCUGGGAAUGAUGGUGACAUCAGCCCCAGUGUCCACCAUCAGGUUCAUCAUCACCGACCUCCCCUGCAAUGAGAGCACAGUCUUAAUUAUUGGUCUUUCCUUUGACACAUUUUGUGUUAGGAAAACAUGAAUGUCUUCUUCCGAGUCCCAUCCAGGGAGAUCGUCAGGAUCAAGCAGAUAGAGCAUAGCGAAGGGGAGCCCUUUGUCCAAGGUGUACGGGGGCUCGUGGCAGAUGACGGAGACCGUUACCUCGGACCCCGGCGGGACACACACCACUUCGGGCAAGAUGGAAAUCCGGUCCGGUGUGUGCUGUGCGUCACCCAGGACAAGCACUGUUGCUUCGCCAUGGCUGUGUGGGGGCCCCAGGAACCCCGCAGGGACUCUCACCAGGUCCUCAUCCAGUAACGUGAUGGUGACCGAGCUUCUGAGGACCUGGCGGCGGCUGGGAUCUAAGUUGGCUGUUCUCCGGAGGAGGCGAAGUCCAUCGUCGCAGCUCCGCCAGUCCUCCGGAACUGUCCCCUGGGCCACUGGUCCUCCCGGAUGGUAGGGAGGCUCGGGCGCUGAGAAGGGCCAUUUGUUGUUCUCGCGUGGCC
rnacentral:lncRNA from 1 species